UACGGAGGGUGCGAGCGUUGUCCGGAAUCACUGGGCGUAAAGGGCGCGUAGGCGGCUCAUGAAGGCUGUGGUGAAAGUCCGGGGCUCAACCUCGGAUCGGCCGUGGCGACUCGUGGGCUGGAGCACUGUAGAGGCGGGUGGAAUUCCGGGUGUAGCGGUGGAAUGCGUAGAGAUCCGGAAGAACACCGGUGGCGAAGGCGGCCUGCUGGGCAGUAGCUGACGCUGAGGCGCGAAAGCGUGGGUAGCAAACAGG
rnacentral:rRNA from 1 species